AUUGAACGCUGGCGGAAUGCUUUACACAUGCAAGUCGAACGGCAGCACGGGGCAACCUGGUGGCGAGUGGCGAACGGGUGAGUAAUAUAUCGGAACGUGCCCAAUCGUGGGGGAUAACGUAGCGAAAGUUACGCUAAUACCGCAUACGAUCUACGGAUGAAAGCGGGGGAUCGCAAGACCUCGCGCGAAUGGAGCGGCCGAUAUCAGAUUAGGUAGUUGGUGGGGUAAAGGCUCACCAAGCCAACGAUCUGUAGCUGGUCUGAGAGGACGACCAGCCACACUGGAACUGAGACACGGUCCAGACUCCUACGGGAGGCAGCAGUGGGGAAUUUUGGGACAAUGGGCGCAAGCCUGAUCCAGCCAUUCCGCGUGCAGGAUGAAGGCCUC
rnacentral:rRNA from 1 species